GCCAUGAUAGCUCAGUUGGGAGAGCGCCCGACUGAAGAUCGGAAGGUCGCCGGUUCGAUCCCGGCUCGUGGCA
rfam:Pristionchus pacificus strain PS312 contig4215, whole genome shotgun sequence.